rnacentral:rRNA from 1 species
UGCAGUCGAGCGGAUGACAGGAGCUUGCUCCUGAAUUCAGCGGCGGACGGGUGAGUAAUGCCUAGGAAUCUGCCUGGUAGUGGGGGACAACGUUUCGAAAGGAACGCUAAUACCGCAUACGUCCUACGGGAGAAAGCAGGGGACCUUCGGGCCUUGCGCUAUCAGAUGAGCCUAGGUCGGAUUAGCUAGUUGGUGAGGUAAUGGCUCACCAAGGCGACGAUCCGUAACUGGUCUGAGAGGAUGAUCAGUCACACUGGAACUGAGACACGGUCCAGACUCCUACGGGAGGCAGCAGUGGGGAAUAUUGGACAAUGGGCGAAAGCCUGAUCCAGCCAUGCCGCGUGUGUGAAGAAGGUCUUCGGAUUGUAAAGCACUUUAAGUUGGGAGGAAGGGCAGUAACUUAAUACGUUGCUGUCUUGACGUUACCGACAGAAUAAGCACCGGCUAACUCUGUGCCAGCAGCCGCGGUAAUACAGAGGGUGCAAGCGUUAAUCGGAAUUACUGGGCGUAAAGCGCGCGUAGGUGGUUUGUUAAGUUGGAUGUGAAAGCCCCGGGCUCAACCUGGGAACUGCAUUCAAAACUGACAAGCUAGAGUAUGGUAGAGGGUGGUGGAAUUUCCUGUGUAGCGGUGAAAUGCGUAGAUAUAGGAAGGAACACCAGUGGCGAAGGCGACCACCUGGACUGAUACUGACACUGAGGUGCGAAAGCGUGGGGGAGCAAACAGGAUUAGAUACCCUGGGUAGUCCACGCCGUAAACGAUGUCAACUAGCCGUUGGGAGCCUUGAGCUCUU